CGGGGAAUUUUGGACAAUGGGCGCAAGCCUGAUCCAGCAAUGCCGCGUGCAGGAUGAAGGCCUUCGGGUUGUAAACUGCUUUUGUACGGAACGAAAAGCCUCUCUCUAAUACAGGGGGGUGAUGACGGUACCGUAAGAAUAAGCACCGGCUAACUACGUGCCAGCAGCCGCGGUAAUACGUAGGGUGCAAGCGUUAAUCGGAAUUACUGGGCGUAAAGCGUGCGCAGGCGGUUUUGUAAGACAGUGGUGAAAUCCCCGGGCUCAACCUGGGAACUGCCAUUGUGACUGCAAGGCUGGAGUGCGGCAGAGGGGGAUGGAAUUCCGCGUGUAGCAGUGAAAUGCGUAGAUAUGCGGAGGAACACCGAUGGCGAAGGCAAUCCCCUGGGCCUGCACUGACGCUCAUGCACGAAAGCGUGGGGAGCAAACAGGAUUAGAUACCCUGGUAGUCCACGCCCUAAACGAUGUCAACUGGUUGUUGGGGAUUUAUUUCCUUCAGUAACGAAGCUAACGCGUGAAGUUGACCGCCUGGGGGAGUACGGCCNCAAGGUU
rnacentral:rRNA from 1 species